rnacentral:lncRNA from 1 species
AACAUGAUUUCUGCCAAGAGCUUACAACCUAAAAUAGAGAAAUAAAAAUCCCAGGUAUAAGAUGGAUAAAGUGUGGCAGGAAGGAAAAAAGGUAGAAUGAAUAAUAUGCUGCACUUCAUCACCUACACAAAACCUUAGCAUGUUGUACAAUACCUUUUCAAGGCACUUAAUUAAUAUUAGUUAAAAAAAACAAAUGAAUGAAUGACUUGGAAAUAUGACUUCUUAGUCAUUUAUCAGUAGCAGAGUCCAUUGACAUUAAUAGAGCUUCUUUGAAUUAUUCUUGUCUCUGGCUAUGUUUAGAUUAUUGACAAUUCCUUAUACAUCUAGUUCUGUAAGUACAAAGUAUGCUAUUAUAUGUUGCAUCAAAAAUAUAUUCUUUCUAAACUAGUAUACACGCAUCCUUAAACACAGCAAACAAUAGCAAUAAUACAUUUCUCUGUAUGCUUCAAUUCAUGAAACUACCAGUGAUGAAAAGGAUGGUAUUUUGAUAAUAGCAUUACAAUGUGGUAUCUGUGGGUGGAUCUAUGACUCAGAGAUUGGAUUUUCUUCUCACCCAAGGUGCUUUUGAUAAGAUCUCUUAAAAUGCAAUAACUUUCUCAUUUCAACUAAUUAUUUUUCUCUGUAAUGUACUAAGAACCCACUCUUUUCUCAUGCUAAGUAUUAAAGUUGGGCCAUCCAGAAUAAUAUUCUUGAAAAAAAAAAUCUGAAAGAAAAUUUGGAAGGGGAGAAAGUGUGAAAUAGAAAAGGAUUUUCCAACCCUGUAAAACAGUUCCAACCUUUUAGCAGGAGCAUAUAAUGACUUAAUAAUAAUAAUUUAACAAUAAUCCAUUUUCCAAGGCAUGUUCACAAAUCUAACCUAGCCUGUCACAUGAAACCUGUGAAGGAGAGACCAAAUGAUUCGCCUAAAAUCAAAGUGGUAGGGUGCCAUCUCAAACCCAAAUCUCCAUUGUUCUUUUCACUUAUGUCUGAGUCUUCAAGUCAUUGUCAUUACAAAAUUAUGCACUGUCAUCACAAAAUUAUACAUCUAGUAGAUAAGAGCUCUAUAUCAAGAGUCUAGAUGAAAAUCUUAAUUUUGAACUUUUUCUCAUAUUACUUUUCCUCUGCUGCCAAAAAGAAAAGUUAUACUUUUAUUUUCUCAAUUUGGUAAGUAACCAAACUUCUUACAACUUCAAAGCAAUAAAAUUUCAUUGGCCACCCUAAGCAAUAAAAUAAAUAGUGACUUGCUUUUCUACUUUUGAUUGAAAUGAGACUUAUAUAAACAAGAAGUUUUAUGAGAUCUGGAAGUAAACAUGUAUUUUUCUUGUACUAUUUGUCUCCCCAUGAUCCACAACUUUGUGCUAAUUUUCAAUGCUACAAUGAAUCACAGUCCAAAAUUAAGGUUUAUCCUAACUACAAAAAAAAAAAAAAUGAAAGGAGAUACUUCUCAACUAAAAUUAUAUUUGUUUAUUUAUAGAGUAUGCGACUGUGUAGUACUCAAAAUCUAAUACAGAGAAAACUAUGCUUUAAUGUAAAGCAUAAAAAGCCUAAAUAUUUGUAUAUCAAUUGUUCAAAUGAAAAUGAAAAUGAACUAUAAAACUAAAAAGUUGGAGUAAUUUUUAAAAAUAAAGCCAGAUGAAAAUAAAUAAAUAAAUAAAGCCAGAUGUCAGUCUUAAGAGUGACUUGACUUAUACUAUUUUUAAGUUACGAAACUAAGAAAACUGCUCUCUUUGGGCAAAGUAUUAUAACCAUGGCAUAGUAGUUUUUAGAAAAUUGGGUGCCAGUCCUGGAUCCACUACUAAUAAGUACUUUAUGGGCUCAGUCUUAGCAUCCUCAUUUGCAAAAUAGUAGGUUGGGACUAAGAUAUUUUUCAUAUCUGAUGUUCUACCAUUCUAAAUUCCUUUGCAAGGACUUCUAACUACUGUUAGAACCACAUUUUUAUUGAUUUCUCAAUGUUGCAUAUUUUAAUGAGAGAUGUUUCCAAAUAGUGAAAUACAUCACAUCAAAUGUCUGAAUUGCACUAAGUUUACAAUGCACUUUUGACAUACAACAUCUUGUUUAGUCUAA